rnacentral:rRNA from 1 species
UACGAAGGGGGCUAGCGUUGCUCGGAAUUACUGGGCGUAAAGCGCACGUAGCGGUCUCUUAAGUCGGUGGUGAAAUCCUGGAGCUCAACUCCAGAACUGCCUUCGAUACUGGGGGACUCGAGUUCGGGAGAGGUGAGUGGAACUGCGAGUGUAGAGGUGAAAAUUCGUAGAUAUUCGCAAGAACACCAGUGGCGAAGGCGGCUCACUGGCCCGGUACUGACGCUGAGGUGCGAAAGCGUGGGGAGCAAACAGGG